GGCCCUCUGGCGGAACGGUAGACGCGCUCGACUCAAAAUCGAGUGGGGUGAUCCCCCGUCCCGGUUCGAGUCCGGGGAGGGCCA
rfam:Anaeromyxobacter sp. Fw109-5, complete genome.